CCCGCUGGGCACAGCAUCCCGGAACCUGCACGCCCACGGCCACUAGCCUGAGGUCGCCCUCUUUCACCUCCCUUUCUUCCUCCCUGACAGACACAGACGGGGAGGAUGUGCGCGGCCCUUGUGAAGAUGCUUCUAUGCGCAGAACUGGGACGGUCAUUUUGUUCAUGGCUGGAUUGGGAGCCUCAAGCCCCUGGAUGACGAGAUGAGUCCCUUGACGAGAUGGGGAGCAGCAUCACUAAGAGAAAGGCAAGUGUGCUGUUGAGGGUUUCCCACUGGGAGAGAAGUAGAACACCAAACGCCCCCUCCCUCCACUUUUCCGUUUUGCAUCAACUCAUGGGCCCUGGGCUGCCAUGGAUGUGUACCUCAGAGCCUUGAGGGUUCAGGAGGAUGGCAGGGUAACAGGGAGAGGAGUGGCAGCUCAGGAGCCCUGCAAGGCCACUUGCCUGAACCACAGUGACUGAGGAGGCAGCCAGGGAGCCAUUCUUACAUUUCCCUAGGAUUGCGGCCUCCCUCCUUUCCACCCACAACACAGAGGGCCACCCCCAGGACUAUGCUUGGGGUGCGCUUUCCCCCAUAGGAUCUGUUCGUCAGCAUCAAGCACUGGCCCAACACCCAGUCCCUGGAACUCAGGCACACCAGUCAGCAUGUCCUGCGGUUGCCAACCUCAGUGGGGAGUGUUGAAGACCAAUACAGGCCACAUGCAGGUUACAUGGGUGACACCUCCCUCCUAGAUACAGUCAAUUCACUUUUUUCUCACCCUGUUGUCAAGGAUGGGACAUUAGUUUGGAAAUGGAUGGCGACCUCCAUGUGAGAUAACCGAACACGAGCCAACCCACAAGCUGGCCAGCAGUUGCCAGUUCCCUCCCAUAUCGUGAUUGUCACCUCUGGGGUCAUGACCUGAGCUGAAGGCAGACACUUAACUAACUGAGCCACCAAGGAGUCCCUAUAGUCCCUCCUAUUUUAAGCCUACAGUGCCCAUUUCCCUUUGGGUCUGUUGAAGAAACCUAACCCCUCUUCCCCUACUUCUCCCUCAGCCAUAGGUACCAUCUUUGAACAACUCUUUAAACAAUGCUUAAUGUCUUCCAUUCUCCAAGGGCCCUGUUGCCUUUGUCUCUAUUUUUCCAUAUUCAGCUAUAUCUCGGGUUUAGGUGAAUUCCGGGAAUGAUAAUUGCUGGAUAAGAAAUUCAGCCAACUGGCUUUCAGGGAGUUGCUUGUUGUUCAGUUGGUGUUUGGUGUACUGGUUUGUCUGGGUAUUGGCCUGAUUGUGUAUCACUUAGCUCAUCAACUCUUGGUCUUUGUCCUUUGGAAGGAAGGAAAGAAGAACAAAAAGAAAAGAAGAAAGAAAGGAAGAAAAGAAGUAGGGAGAAAGGAAAGACCAUCAUCCCUGAGUGACCCUCCACUUAAUUCUGUGCUCAGUCUGACCUGCCCACUAUGGACAAGAGGGACUCCUGGAAUUCAGAGAAGCUCUGACCAUUCCCUUCCCUCCAUCCAAUGACCUGCUUAGACCUUCAACUGACCCUGCCCUGGAGAAAUACGAUUUGAGCCUCAUGUGUAAUUUAAAAUUUUCCUGUACUGCCCAAAAACAGUAUAAUAAAAUGGAUGAAAUUUA